rnacentral:rRNA from 1 species
AGUGGCGCACGGGGCGUAACACGUAUGCAACCUACCUUACAUUGGGGGAUAGCCUUUCGAAAGGGAGAUUAAUACCGCAUAAGACAGUAACUGGGCAUCCAGUAGUUGUUAAAGAUUUAUCGAUGUAAGAUGGGCAUGCGACCAAUUAGUUAGUUGGCGAGGUAACGGCUCACCAAGACUAUGAUUGGUAGGGGAACUGAGAGGUCAAUCCCCCACACUGGCACUGAGAUACGGGCCAGACUCCUACGGGAGGCAGCAGUAGGGAAUAUUGGGCAAUG